UGAAUACGAGACGCUAAGGCGUCGAAGUAGUGUAUGUCAUACUUCCAAGAAAAGCUUGCACUGUCAUAAGUAAAAAAUGCCUGUACCAUAACCGACACAGGUGGGUAGGUAGAGUAUACUAAGGGGCGCGAGAUAACUCUCUCUAAGGAACUCGGCAAAAUAACUCCGUAACUUCGGGAGAAGGAGUACCUUAUUCUAUAAGGUUGCAAUAACAAGAUCCAAGCAACUGUUUAUCAAAAACACAGGUCUCCGCUAAGUCGUAAGACGAUGUAUGGGGGCUGACGCCUGCCCAGUGCCAGAAGGUUAAAGAAGUCGGUUAGCAUUAGCGAAGCUGGUAACUGAAGCCCUGGUGAACGGCGGCCGUAACAAUAACGGUCCUAAGGUAGCGAAAUUCCUUGUCGGGUAAGUUCCGACCCGCACGAAAGGCGUAAUGAUUUGGAUACUGUCUCGGAGAGGGGCUCGGUGAAAUAGACUUGUCUGUGAAGAUGCGGACUACCUGCACCAGGACAGAAAGACCCUAUGAAGCUUUACUGUAACUUGAAAUUGAAAUUGGACUUUAUUCGCGCAGUAUAGGUGGGAGGUGUUGAUUAUAAUCUUGCGGGAUUAUUGGAGCCAUCAGUGAGAUACCACUCUUGUAAUGUUAGAUUUCUAACUUUGAAUCAUUAUCUGGUCAAAGGACAGUUUCUGGCGGGCAGUUUGACUGGGGCGGUCGCCUCCCAAACGGUAACGGAGGCGUACAAAGGUUUCCUCUGAACGGGUAGAAAUCGUAUCUAGAGUGUAAAGGCAUAAGGAAGCUUGACUGUGAGACCUACAAGUCGAACAGGGACGAAAGUCGGUCUUAGUGAUCUGACGGUACUGAGUGGAAAGGCCGUCACUCAACGGAUAAAAGUUACUCUAAGGAUAACAGGCUGAUCUCCCCCAAGAGUUCACAUCGACGGGGAGGUUUGGCACCUCGAUGUCGGCUCAUCGCAUCCUGGGGCGGUAGUACGUCCCAAGGGUUGGGCUGUUCGCCCAUGAAAGCGGUACGCGAGCUGGGUUCAGAACGUCGUGAGACAGUUCGGUCCAUAUCCGGUGUAGGCGUUAGAAUAUUGAGAGGAGCCUUCUUUAGUACGAGAGGACCGAGAAGGACAUACCUCUGGUGUACCAGUUAUCGUGCCAACGGUAAACGCUGGGUAGCUAUGUAUGGAGUGGAUAACCGCUGAAAGCAUCUAAGUGGGAAGCCCACCUCAAGAUAAGUAUUCC
rnacentral:rRNA from 1 species